rnacentral:lncRNA from 1 species
ACUCUGAGUCAGAUGAGACAUCAAAAGUCAGGUGAGACAACCUUGUUUUGUUAUUGUUUUUUAAACCUAAACUUAACGAUAGCAAAACAACGUAUAUUUUUAACUCAGAAAAACCAAAAGUCCACAAGAGACCACGCUUUAAGUCAAAAUAAUAUUUGUAGAAAGAUUUUUUUCAGUGCCGUUAAGAUUUUUCUUUUUAUUUGAAUGGAUGAGUUUUGAUGUAGGGAAGUAAAAUUUUAAAACACUUACGUAGCUUUAUCUCUUCCUGUUGCUGUACCCGUUCUUUUGGCUGUACGCCUUCUUCUGGCUUCACGCCUUCUUCUGGCUUUGACUUCGACUGUGAGUCAGGUGAGACAACGGCUGGUUUUGACUCUGGCGUCCCGUCAAAUGAGACAACGGUUCGCACAGCACCGAUAAUUAAAAUGAGGCUCAACCCGCGGUACAUGGCGCGAUUGAUUGCGGCCACCUCCAGUGAUUCUCGCCCAACAUUAUUCCCGGUGAGAUCUGCGAACUGCCCUAAUUAGCAUCUGAUGGAAGUAUGCUCCAUAUGUGUUUGGCCGGAGGGUUGCGUGGACCAUCCGUACGGAAGUAUAAAACGGUCAGAGCUCCAGUCAUCGGCACCAUUCGCUCCAGUGCUUCCAGCCUUCAUAACUUCCUCAGCCAGCCACCACCAACACCCCAAAAUCAUCAUGAAAUUCCUUAUCAGCCUCCUCUUCGUGGCCGCCGUCGCCUACGCCGGAGAGACCGAGCUCGUCCGUGAGAAACGCGGAGUCUUCUUCGCCGACGCUCCCUACGCCUACGCCCCGGCCGCUUACCACCACGCCUACGCCGCCCCCGCCUUCGCCCCGGCCGCCUACCACCACGCCUACGCUGCCCCCGCCUUCGCCCCCGCCGCCUACGCCACCGCCUACGCUGCUCCCGCCCCCGUGGUAGCCGCCGCCCCCGCCCCGGUCGCCGUAGCCGCCCCCAGGUCCAGCAUCAUCCAGGCCAACCCAGGCUCCUACUCCGAGCUUACCCAUUUUUACUAGGGAGCUUCGCCGUCGAGCUAGUCAUACUCUUACCACUGGUGAUUCGGAAGGCCAAGCAUGUCGAGGGCUUUCUACGGUUUUGUUUUUGUUAGUGUGACGUUAAUACAAUGUUUUGUGUUUAAUCAACUUGAAUGUUGUCUUUAUUCGUAAGGAUCCCUGCCGGAUGCGAAGCUGAAACCAAAAGACGCAAAACGAAUGGAGAUGUUGCAUGUGUCAGGGAUUUGCGAUUUGACUGUUGAUUCUUAUGCGAAGUUUUGCGAGAAAGACGGUGGUGCCACUGGUUUUCUCUGAUAUCAUCUCCCAAGCUCAAAAAAGCUCUCAAGUUGAGGCCGAAUGGAGGGGAUAUCCCACGCUAUCCUGAGAGUCCACGUCUACAUCAAGACAAACUCUCCGUGCAAAGAUAGGGAGCAAAUACACUGACAGGGCUGCCACUUUAUUUGGGGACUCUAACACUGAAAACACGGCAUUCCUGCUAAUGCAUUUGCUCCAUAUCCUUGCAUGGAGAGUUCGUCUUGAUGUAGAGGUGGACUCUCAGGAUAGCGUUGGAUAUCCCCUCCAUUUUGGCCUCAACUUGGGAGCUUUUUUGAGCUUGGUAGUUGAUUUCAGGGAAAACCAGUGGCACCAUCGUGUUUCUCGCGAACUUUUACAUACGAAUCAAUUGUCAAAUCGCAAAGCCCUCACACAUGCAACAUCUCCAUUGCGGGCCGAACGGCACAGACCUUCUACUUUUACGAGUCGUCUGUGAUUGGCCAAACCGCCUGGCGAUGACUUGUUAGG